CGACGACUCGCUGGUGCAGGCCCAGGACGGCAUCGCGAGCGCCAUUGCGUACUGCAAGCUCUCCCUGUCACCUUCGAGAGGGUUCGAAUCUCCAUUGUUGCCUUUCCGUGGAUGAACUGGCUGGAGAAGAGAAGCACAAGAAGACGACACUGGCGGUUGGUGAUUGCGAUGCUGAGUUAUGUAUGAUCUUGGUGAGUUAUAUAUUCGGAAUUGUUUGAGGAGCUGAUGUGGAUAGAUGCACUGAUUUUACAAUUUACAGUGUCAAAUUCUUAGAUUUUACCAGCGCUUAA